rnacentral:rRNA from 1 species
UGAGUAACCUGCCCUUAACUCUGGGAUAAGCCUGGGAAACUGGGGCUAAUACCGGAUAUGACUCCNCAUCGCAUGGUGGGGGUGGAAG